GGCUUCCAGCUCAUUUAGAGCUCUCCCAAGCUGUUCUAUUAAAGAGGAUUAUGCUUUGUUUUCCAGUCCUUACUCUGAAUUAGUCAUGGCUGUGUGAAGUCCAGGUACUACAGACUACUACACAAUUCACCAAAAUAUCAUAGAGCCAUAAGCAACAGAAAAGUAAGAAGAGCAAUAUGAGCAGAAUAUAAAUUGCUUCUCAAUCGUAAGGCAGCAAGCAACUCUGCCUCUGCAUAAAAUAAACAAUAUGAAGAGCAUACGCUCUCACCACCUAGAGUUUAGAGCUAAGGUUCUAAUCACCCUUAACUUACGAUAAAUGUGUGAUACAAAAUUGAAUCAAGUUUCUUCUUUUGCUGGGCCAAUUUUACACUUAUCUUUUAGGUUGCUACGCAUUCAAACACUGGGCUAUUCAUGGCUUAUGUAGAUUUAAACCAUCAGGGUUUACAGAGUAUACAUCUAAGCAAAAUACUACAAACUGCAAAUUAAGUUUAAGACAAACACAUUCUAUUGAAUAUUACAAAACCAACUUUGUUCAGUAUAAAAGUGCCAAGAUUUAGAGGAAAACUAGAAGGGUAAGAGCAAGGGACUUUUAACACAAACGUUUUCAUUGAAAUUAUAGAAAGCUACCUAACUUCUACAAAAUAAUUUAUAUUCCAAACCUUAAUGAAAUGAUCACAAAGGGGGUUCAAACGUAGAAAUAAAUUAGAGGGAGAGAGAGAGAGAGAGAAGUAAC
rnacentral:misc_RNA from 1 species